rnacentral:rRNA from 1 species
AUGGUGCUGAGAAAUAUCAGGGAUAUGUUGCACUCAAUGGGAAAAGACAUAGAAUCAUUUCCUCUUCCAGAGAUCGACAAACGACAUGAGACGACCAACGACAUACCUAGGGAGAUCGUUGAGGAGACCUCCAUCGAGGUUGACCCUGAGGACGUAUCGUUGCAUAAAAACCUAAACAUCGAGCAGAGGAAGGCCUACGAUGAAAUCCUAGCCACAGUUGACCGCCAAAGAGGAGGUAUAUUCUUUGUCGAUGGGACGGGAGGCACAGGAAAAACUUUUCUUUAUAGGGUGCUCUUGGCCACAAUACGCGGACAAGGCAAGAUUGUCGUGGCAACGACCACUUCCGGUGUUGCUGCUUCCAUAAUGCCUGGAGGGAGGACCGCACACUCGAGGUUCAAGAUUCCACUAAAAAUAGAUGAUGGAGCUAUUUGUAGCUUCACAAAACAGAGUGGGACAGCAAAGCUACUCCAAGCAGCAUCACUAAUAAUCUGGGAUGAAGCAUCUAUGACAAAGAGACAGGCAGUGGAGGCGCUAGACAAAAGCAUGCGGGACAUAAUGGAUAGACUAGAUCUUCCAUUUGGUGGAAAAACGAUCGUAUUUGGGGGAGAUUUUAGACAAGUGCUACCUAUUGUCUGA